rnacentral:rRNA from 1 species
CUCUUGGAAACGAGAGAGUGCCUUCGGGAACGCAGUGACAGGUUGUGCAUGGCUGUCGUCAGCUCGUGUCGUGAGAUGUUGGGUUAAGUCCCGCAACGAGCGCAACCCACGUCUUUAGUUGCCAGCAUUUAGUUGGGCACUCUAGAGAGACCGCCGGUGAUAAACCGGAGGAAGGUGUGGAUGACGUCAAGUCAUCAUGCCCCUUACAUCCUGGGCUACACACGUGCUACAAUGCUACGGACAAAGGGCAGCAAACUCGCGAGAGCUAGCAAAUCCCAUAAACCGUGGCUCAGUUCAGAUCGUAGGCUGCAACUCGCCUACGUGAAGGAGGAAUCGCUAGUAAUCGCAGGUCAGCAUACUGCGGUGAAUACGUUCCCGGGCCUUGUACACACCGCCCGUCAAGUCACGGAAGUCGGUAACACCCGAAG